rnacentral:rRNA from 1 species
CCUACGGGUGGCAGCAGUGAGGAAUAUUGGUCAAUGGACGAGAGUCUGAACCAGCCAAGUAGCGUGAAGGAUGACUGCCCUAUGGGUUGUAAACUUCUUUUAUAUGGGAAUAAAAUGUUCCACGUGUGGGAUUUUGUAUGUACCAUAUGAAUAAGGAUCGGCUAACUCCGUGCCAGCAGCCGCGGUAAUACGGAGGAUCCGAGCGUUAUCCGGAUUUAUUGGGUUUAAAGGGAGCGUAGGUGGAUUGUUAAGUCAGUUGUGAAAGUUUGCGGCUCAACCGUAAAAUUGCGGUUGAAACUGGCAGUCUUGAGGACAGUAGAGGUGGGCGGAAUUCGUGGUGUAGCGGUGAAAUGCUUAGAUAUCACGAAGAACUCCGAUUGCGAAGGCAGUUCACUGGACUGCAACUGACACUGAGGCUCGAAAGUGUGGGUAUCAAACAGGAUUAGAGACCCUUGUAGUC